UACGUAGGGUGCAAGCGUUAUCCGGAAUCAUUGGGCGUAAAGAGUUCGUAGGUGGUUUUGAAAGUUCGCAGUUAAAUCCGGUCGCUCAACGAUCGAAUCGCUGCGAAAACUCCAAAACUAGAGAAUGGCAGAGGCAACUGGAAUGUCGCAUGUAGGGGUAAAAUCCGUUGAUAUGCGAUGGAACACCAAAAGCGAAGGCAGGUUGCUGGGCCAUUUCUGACGCUGAGGAACGAAAGCGUGGGGAGCAAACAGG
rnacentral:rRNA from 1 species